UCCACCUGCCUCUCUGCCUUCCAAGUGCCGGGAUUAAAGGUGUAUACCACCACCGCCCAGUGUCUUUCCAUUUCUUCAGUUGAUAAAAAUGAUUUGAUUUUUUCAAGUUAGUGGAAGAGGCAGUGUGUGCUCUGAACCUUAUAUUGCCACCCCAUAUGCAACCCAAAGACGACCCACCAUCUCCACCUAGGCCCCACAGGACUGAUCUAACCUCACCUCGGUCUUUAAUUCACCGGCCCCCUCAAAGGUUCACAGGACAGUUGCUGGGACUUCCCACUGCUAGGCUGUGAUUUCAUCUCUUCCCUUGGUGGCUCCUGGCUCCUUUGCAUGUGCACUGUUAGCUUAACUGGUCACCUGAGUAGACUGCUUUGCCUUCAAGGUCCCCUUCCCAGUUUCAGCUCACUGCCUUUUCCAUGCCCUUAAACCAGCACCUUUUUGUUUCUUUUGCUAACUUUUGGAUUUCCACACACUGUAAGUUUCAUGAGAUCAGGGACCAGUUGACAGCCCUUAUCCCAGAGCUUUAGUGUAUGUAUGUAGGCCAGCGCACAAAAAAAUAAAGAACUCUAAUAUUCGCCCCAAUGCUUGGUUCUUCCAUCCUCAGUGCCUAGCAAGUGAGGCCCAGAGCCAAAACCACUUCCCACCGCCGCUCUCCAGCCCUCUACCAGAGUCUGAUUGUGCCUAGGCAACAGUCUCCUAGGAGACGGGAAACAGAGGGCGGGGCCUGAGAGGGAGCCUGAGCGAAGGCACUGGGGCGCUGGGAGCGAUCCUGGCGGCGGCAGGCGCAUGCAGGGCCUCAGCGCCGCGCUUCUCCUGAGCGCCGGGCAGCUGAGGCCUGCGGCUGCCUGUUACCGCCAACAAGGCGGCUCGGAAUGCAGCUGGCAGCGGAGGCCGCAGCCGCCCGAGCUCAACACCAAUUCCCCUUCGCGGUGGCCCUGGGCAGGCAGCUCCCAGUUCCACCCUCCUGGGAGGCUGCAAUGGCCCGGGCCCGCCUCCGCCAGACCCGAGGGGGCACGUUGCCGUGGGGAUUACAGCCCAUUUUCUGUGCGCCACCUAAGCAGCGCCCGGGACACUGCGAGCUCCCACCCCGUUUGCUCCCGGCUCCCCUCGACCCUGGAUGAGCCUCUGCCUACUGCCUCGCCACCACCUGAUGAUUCCCUUGUCCUCUGGCGAGGAUUCUCCAAGGGACCUCACCACAUGGGCCGACUCAGAAACGCCAAAAUCCACGUAGAGAGAGCCGUCAAGCAGAAGAAGAUCUUUAUGAUUCAUGGCCGAUACCCAGUGAUCCGGUGUCUAUUGCGCCAGAGGGGAUGGGUAGAAAAAAAGAUGGUCCAUCCCCAAGGCAGCAUCCUGCCACCACCCCAGAAGGAGCUAGACAGUUCAUUGAUGGGGGAUAGUGAUGCCAUGGAGGAUGAGGAUGAAGAAGAGAACGAGGAGUUUCGGGAGCCACAGCUGUUGGACUUCGAUGGUUUUCUGGAAUUUGAUGACCUGGAUGGGGUACACGCUUUAAUGUCCCGCAUGGUUCGGAACGAGACCCCUUACUUCAUCUGGACCACUCGGCGAGAUGUGCUGGACUGUCGCUUCCUUUCCAAGGAUCAGAUGAUAAACCAUUAUGCCCGGGCUGGCUCCUUCACUACAAAGGUGGGCCUGUGUCUCAACCUCCGGAAUCUGCCAUGGUUCGAUGAGGCUGAUGCUGACUCCUUCUUCCCACGAUGCUAUCGUCUGGGGGCAGAGGAUGACAAGAAAGCCUUCAUAGAGGACUUCUGGCUGACAGCUGCCCGCAACGUUCUCAAGCUGGUGGUGAAGUCGGAAGGGAAGCCAUAUUCCACCUCCAUUCAGACAAGAAAGGAAGAGGUCCUAGAAAUCACACUGCCCAAGAAACAAGAGAGAAAGGCAGUGAUAGUGUCCCCAGAGUUUGUGGACGAGGCGUUGAGUGUUUGUGAGGAGCACCUCAGCAGCAUGGCCCACAAGGACAUCGACAAGGACCCAGAUGCCCCGCUCUACUUCAGCCCUGAGGGUUGGUCCGACUUCCUCCGGCGCUACUACCAAAUAGUCCAUGAAGGGGCAGAACUGAGACACCUAGAGGCCCAGGUCCAGCGCUGCGAAGACAUUCUACAGCAGCUUCGGGCUGUGGUACCCCAAAUCGACAUGGAGGGGGAUCGAAACAUCUGGAUUGUGAAGCCAGGAGCCAAGUCCCGAGGCCGAGGUAUUAUGUGCAUGAACCACCUGGAUGAGAUGCUGAAGCUGGUGGACUGCAACCCCGUGCUGAUGAAGGACGGCAAGUGGAUUGUGCAGAAGUACAUUGAGCGACCCCUGCUCAUCUUUGGCACCAAGUUUGACCUGAGACAGUGGUUCCUGGUAACUGACUGGAAUCCACUCACUGUGUGGUUCUACCGAGACAGCUACAUCCGCUUCUCCACACAGCCCUUCUCCCUGAAGAACCUGGACAACUCUGUCCACCUGUGUAACAAUUCCAUCCAGAGACACUUGGAGGCCUCCUGCCACCGGCACCCGAUGCUGCCCCCCGACAACAUGUGGUCCAGUCAAAGGUUUCAGGCUCACUUGCAGGAGGUGGGCGCCCCAAAUGCCUGGUCUGGUGUCAUUGUACCUGGCAUGAAGGCUGCUGUGAUCCACGCCCUGCAGACCUCCCAAGACACUGUGCAGUGCCGGAAGGCCAGCUUUGAGCUCUAUGGGGCCGACUUUGUGUUUGGGGAAGACUUCCGGCCCUGGUUGAUUGAGAUCAAUGCCAGCCCCACCAUGGCACCUUCCACAGCUGUCACUGCCCGUCUCUGUGCUGGUGUGCAAGCAGACACUCUGCGUGUGGUCAUUGAUCGGCGACUGGACCGCAGCUGUAACACGGGAGCCUUUGAGCUCAUCUAUAAGCAGCCUGCUGUGGAGGUGCCCCAGUACGUGGGGAUCCGGCUCCUGGUGGAGGGGUCUACCAUCAAGAAACCCAUGGCAGUGGGCCACCGGCGCACAGCAGUCCGCUCAUCACUCCCUCAUCUGCUGACCCAGCAAGGCUCUGGGGAAGGCAAGGACUCAGGGUCCCCUACCCACAGGUCAGCUUCUAGGAAAGACGCUGGAGCCAGAAGCCUGGGACACACCGAGAGGCCAGACUCUACUGCCACCACGUUGGUCCCUGGAAAGGGGAAGAAAGCCGAGGUAGCGGGAAGUUUAAGGACGUUGCCUGAGGUUGCACAGCUCAGAAGGGGCAGAGCUGGGAUGCAGACCCAGGUCUGUUGGUUCCCCAACCCUGUGUUCUUCCCACUGCCUCUGGAGGAGCUGGGAGGGGCUCCUCUGCCCUCACCUCCCACCCCCCACCUCUCCACAUACCCUGUGGAAAAACUGGUCAGGCUCUGGGGCCUUACCCAGACCCUCACAGCUUCCCUUCUCCCACAGCCCCUUCCUACUUCUCUAGUCUCCAUUCCAAGGCCUGGCUGCCUUCUCCCUGCGUGCUCCGGCCCCAGGGCCGGGUCCUCAGACUGCAACAUGGCCGGUUGGUGGGCCCUAAGGCUCUGUCAACCACAGGCAAGGCCUUGAUGACUCUACCCACUGCCAAGGUUCUGAUGUCCUUCCCACCUCACCCUGACCUCAAGCUGGCACCCAGCAUGCUGAAACCGGGAAAGGCUGCUAUUCCCCUGCACCUUCGAGGCUCCCACUUUGGAAAUGCCUCAUGGCCUCUGCCCUUUGAAGCUGGACCUCUUCCUAGCACCCACAGGAAAGUCAAAGCCAAAGGCAAGUUCAAGGCCAGACUCUGCGACAAACCCAGGGCUGAGGCAUACCCCGAGAAGAGGCUGAGCUUCCCCAAACCCUUGACCCUUAUUUUGACAUCCCGGACACUGAGGACCAGGGGGGCUAUAAUAAGGCUAGAGAAACCCC